rnacentral:miRNA from 1 species
CAUUCAACUUGGAUGGUUAUGCCGUUGACUGUCUUCGGCAUAACCAUUCAACUUGGAUUGUUAUGCCGUUGACAGUCUUCGGCAUAACCAUUCAA